rnacentral:ncRNA from 16 species
GGGAGGCGACGCGACUGGCGGCACCUGGGAUGGCAGAACCAUCGGGGAGCUCAUCGCGGGGGUCGACCGCCUGGGCUUCCGCG